rnacentral:tRNA from 1 species
GGGAGCUCAGUUGGUGGAAGCCCUGACUUUUAAUCAGGGUGUCCCAGGUUCGAAUCCUGGAUAGCCCG